rnacentral:tRNA from 1 species
GGGAUGUUAGCUCAGUCGGUUCAGAGCGCAUGCUUCACACGCAUGAGGUCACGUGUUCGAGUCACGUACAUCCCA